rnacentral:rRNA from 1 species
UACAGAGGGUGCGAGCGUUGUUCGGAAUUAUUGGGCGUAAAGGGCGCGUAGGCGGUGCGGUAAGUCACCUGUGAAAUCUCCUGGCUCAACUGGGAGCUUGCAGGCGAAACUGCCGUGCUGGAGUGUGGGAGAGGUGAGUGGAAUUCUCGGUGUAGCAGUGAAAUGCGUAGAUAUCGAGAGGAACACCAGUGGCGAAGGCGAGUCUCUGGACGACUCCUGACACUGAGGCACGAAAGCUAGGGGAGCAAACAGG